CCCAGGUGAUGCGCAGGCGCGAGGAGAGCGCACGCCCACGGUACCGCGGCCAUGGCGGCGUCCCGAGAGUCCGUUACUUAGAAGGAACACCUAGAUGAAUGCCACUCCUACAUGAGAAUUGGGAUAGCACUGUACAAAAGAUGUGUCAAAGCUGGUUUUGGAAAGGAAACGUGGAAACUGUUAAUAGCUCCUGAGACCAAGAACCCAGAACUCCUCAGAAGACAAGAGUGAAAAGUUACAUUCUUUCCUUUUGGAGUUCCUUCAGGCAGGAAAGUGUAAUCAAUAGCUCAGUAAAUUAUCCUGUGACAAUUGAAGAGUACCUAAAGCUGAGAAAGUAGGAUGAGCAAGAUUAAUUUCCCUCUCAUUGUUGUCAGCAAACCUCCCACCCACUAUGAAGCUUCCAUCGUGAUCAAGAGGGGUUACUUGCUGCCACCUCCUUUUGGACAUUACACUUAAUAGAUGGCCCACGAGUGACCAACUUUCUUACUGCCUCAUCUGGUAUUUCUUUGAAUGGACAAUAUGAGAUUAAGAUCUGUAUACCUGGUUCAGUACCUCAUUCACUGAUGCGUGGAGUAGGAUCCCAGAUCUUCAGCUUCUCGGGAGACAAGAGGGCUCCUCUAUACACUUAUUCUGGACUCUGGUUCUGUGGAAAGUGAGAAUGACAUUAUGACCUUCAACCUCAUCCCUUUCCCAAGUCCUCCAGCAUCUAUACUCACUUGCCACAUACUCACCUUUGUUAUCACCAGACUGACGGAAGAGCAUUGACUCAUACCCCUGUCCCUGAGGCCUCAUAUUAUGUUUGCCGGUGAUCAAACCCAAGGUGUCAAGCUCUUUAGCCACAAUUACACAUUAAUGCUAAAAUUCAUAUAAAAAAUUAACGUAAGUUUUUCUAUGAAAACACUACAAUGGGAGUCACUGUGCACCUACUCCUCAUGUAGGAUCUCUCUCCUUAAUGUAUUGUACUAUGCGAAUUAAUGGUAAAACUACUCAAACAGUACUCUAUACUUUGUGUGUCCGUGUGGGUGCAGUCUGUUGAAAUCUUUACUUAGUAUAUACUAAGUUGAU